rnacentral:rRNA from 1 species
UACGGAGGGUGCGAGCGUUAUUCGGAAUUACUGGGCGUAAAGCGCGUGUAGGCGGUUUUGCAAGUCUGAUGUGAAAGCCCUGGGCUUAACCCGGGAAGUGCAUUGGAAACUGCGGGACUUGAGUACCGGAGAGGAAGGGGGAAUUCCCGGUGUAGAGGUGAAAUUCGUAGAGAUCGGGAGGAAUACCAGUGGCGUAGGCGCCCUUCUGGACGGUUACUGACGCUGAGACGCGAAAGCGUGGGGAGCAAACAGG